rnacentral:rRNA from 1 species
GACGAACGCUGGCGGCGUGCUUAACACAUGCAAGUCGAACGGAAAGGCCCUGCUUUUGUGGGUUGCUCGAGUGGCGAACGGGUGAGUAACACGUGAGUAACCUGCCCUUGACUUUGGGAUAACUUCAGGAAACUGGGGCUAAUACCGGAUAGGAGCUCCUGCUGCAUGGUGGGGGUUGGAAAGUUUCGGCGGUUGGGGAUGGACUCGCGGGUUAUCAGCUUGUUGGUGGGGUAGUGGCUUACCAAGGCUUUGACGGGUAGCCGGCCUGAGAGGGUGACCGGCCACAUUGGGACUGAGAUACGGCCCAGACUCCUACGGGAGGCAGCAGUGGGGAAUAUUGCACAAUGGGCGGAAGCCUGAUGCAGCAACGCCGCGUGCGGGAUGACGGCCUUCGGGUUGUAAACCGCUUUCGCCUGUGACGAAGCGUGAGUGACGGUAAUGGGUAAAGAAGCACCGGCUAACUACGUG